GAUGAACGCUGGCGGCGUGCCUAAUACAUGCAAGUAGAACGCUGAAGGAGGAGCUUGCUCUUCUGGAUGAGUUGCGAACGGGUGAGUAACGCGUAGGUAACCUGCCUGGUAGCGGGGGAUAACUAUUGGAAACGAUAGCUAAUACCGCAUGACAACAGUUAUUGCAUGAUAACUGUUUAAAAGGGGCAACUGCUCCACUACCAGAUGGACCUGCGUUGUAUUAGCUAGUUGGUGAGGUAACGGCUCACCAAGGCGACGAUACAUAGCCGACCUGAGAGGGUGAUCGGCCACACUGGGACUGAGACACGGCCCAGACUCCUACGGGAGGCAGCAGUAGGGAAUCUUCGGCAAUGGACGGAAGUCUGACCGAGCAACGCCGCGUGAGUGAAGAAGGUUUCGGAUCGUAAAGCUCUGUUGUAAGAGAAGAACGAGUGUGAGAGUGGAAAGUUCACACUGUGACGGUAUCUUACCAGAAAGGGACGGCUAACUACGUG
rnacentral:rRNA from 1 species